GUGUCGGUGGUAUAACGGUUAGUAUAGCUGCCUCCCAAGCAGUUGAUCCGGGUUCGACUCCCGGCCGACGCA
rnacentral:tRNA from 1 species